UUAUAAAUAACAGCUACAUCUGUUUUCCUUCAAACCACCAAGAGUGUGUAUGUAUACGUGUGGGGGUGUGUGCGUGUGUGUUUAUCUAUGCAUGGAACCACACUGUGUAUGUCGGGUUUGUUCAGCGCCAGUGUAAUGAAGAGAUAAGAAGGUGAGAGGAUUUCUUGGUUUGGUGGGCUGGUACCGGAAAUUCAUACCUUCUUUUGCCGAACGAUCAGCUGUACUGAACCAUCUAACAAAGGGUGCAGCCCCCAACAAAGUGUGCUGGACAGAAGAUUGUGAUCGAGCCUUCAAAGAUCUCAAGCAAGCGGUAUGUACUCAUCCUGUUUUGCACACACCAGACUUCACUAAGCCAUUCAUCUUACAAACAGAUGCUUCGGGAGUGGGACUUGGAGCUGUCCUUCUACAAGAGGUGGACGGUGAAAGAAGACCUGUGGCGUUUCUGAGUCGGAAGCUGCUUGACAGGGAGACACGAUAUUCAACAGUGGAAAAGGAGUGCUUGGCCAUGAAGUGGGCUAUUGAGGCCCUGAGGUAUUAUCUUUUAGGACGUCACUUUAUUCUAGAGACGGACCAUCGUGCCCUCCAGUGGUUGAGACGAAUGAGGGAUGCCAACGCCCGUAUCGCUGGAUGGUACUUGUCACUGCAGCCAUUUGACUUCACAGUCCAGUACAAGCCAGGGAAGUCUAAUGUGGUUGCUGACUGUUUAUCCAGAGUGUCAGAGGACUGAGGGUGUUUGGACAAAUGCUGCCCCGGGGGUCCAGACACCAUAUAUAGUCUCUGGGAGAGGCCAUUGAAAAGUGUGUGGGGGGGGAAUUGUUUAUGGGUUUUGUGGUGUUUCAUCUGGUGUAAUGAUAAAACAUAAAAUAUUUAUAAAAAGUAAAUAGAAAUGUUUAUAUUUAGUAAAAGGUAUUUUAAUUAAAUAACUGGAUAUUGAUGAAUUGAGAUUCCCCUGUGAAUUAAAGGUGGUUUGAUCCGUCACAGCUGGGACUAUUUAAGACUGCAGUUUUCACCUGUGAAGUUGUUGGUUGAUGUGAUGUGAAGAAUAAAACAACUGCUGUUUUCCACCUGA